AUUGAACGCUGGCGGCAUGCCUUACACAUGCAAGUCGAACGGCAGCACGGGGCAACCUGGUGGCGAGUGGCGAACGGGUGAGUAAUGCAUCGGAACGUACCUUUCAGUGGGGGAUAACGUAGCGAAAGUUACGCUAAUACCGCAUAUUCUGUGAGCAGGAAAGCAGGGGAUCGCAAGACCUUGCGCUGAUUGAGCGGCCGAUGUCAGAUUAGCUAGUUGGUGAGGUAAAGGCUCACCAAGGCGACGAUCUGUAGCGGGUCUGAGAGGAUGAUCCGCCAAACUGGAACUGAGACACGGCCCAGACUCCUACGGGAGGCAGCAGUGGGGAAUUUUGGACAAUGGGGGCAACCCUGAUCCCGCCAUGCCGCGUGAGUGAAGAAGGCCUACGGGUUGUAAAGCUCUUUCGGCCGGGAAGAAAUCGCACGGGCUAAUACCCUGUGUGGAUGACGGUACCGGAAUAAGAAGCACCGGCUAACUACGUGCCAGCCGCCGCCGUAACAC
rnacentral:rRNA from 1 species